rnacentral:snRNA from 1 species
UUGCUUCAGCAGCACCUAAACUAAAAUUGGAAGGAUACGGAGAAGACAAUCACAGCCCCUCUGCAAAGGAUAUCACGCAAAUUCAUGAAAUGUUCCAUCUUUUN